rnacentral:rRNA from 1 species
GAUGAACGCUGGCGGCGUGCUUAACACAUGCAAGUCGAACGGAUUUAACAGAAAGCUUGCUUUCGGUUAAAUUAGUGGCGGACGGGUGAGUAACGCGUGGAUAACCUGCCGUAUACAGGGGGAUAACACUUAGAAAUAGGUGCUAAUACCGCAUAAGCGCACAGUUUCGCAUGAGACAGUGUGAAAAACUCCGGUGGUAUACGAUGGAUCCGCGUCUGAUUAGGUAGUUGGUGGGGUAACGGCCUACCAAGUCGACGAUCAGUAGCCGGACUGAGAGGUUGAACGGCCACAUUGGGACUGAGACACGGCCCAGACUCCUACGGGAGGCAGCAGUGGGGAAUAUUGCACAAUGGGCGCAAGCCUGAUGCAGCAACGCCGCGUGAGGGAAGACGGUCUUCGGAUUGUAAACCUCUGUCCUU